rnacentral:rRNA from 1 species
GACGAACGCUGGCGGCGUGCCUAACACAUGCAAGUCGAACGGAGUUCCUUCGGGGACUUAGUGGCGAACGGGUGAGUAACGCGUGAGAAACCUGCCUUUCAGUGGGGGACAACAGUGGGAAACUACUGCUAAUACCGCAUAAUGUUAUUUGGGGGCAUCCCUGAAUAACCAAAGAUUUAUUGCUGAAAGAUGGUCUCGCGUCUGAUUAGCUAUUUGGUGAGGUAACGGCUCACCAAGGCGACGAUCAGUAGCCGGUCUGAGAGGAUGAACGGCCACAUUGGGACUGAGAUACGGCCCAGACUCCUACGGGAGGCAGCAGUGGGGAAUAUUGGGCAAUGGGCGAAAGCCUGACCCAGCAACGCCGCGUGAAGGAAGAAGGCCUUCGGGUUGUAAACUUCUUUUACCAGGGACGAACAAAUGACGGUACCUGGAGAAAAAGCAACGGCUAACUACGUGCCAGCCGCCGCCGUAAGAC